AGGUGCAGCGGCUUGCUGAUUACUCUGGCGGCGGCAGCGGCGUGAGGCGGAAAGCCGUGGCGCGAGGCGCGUCGAGACGUGUUCGUGGAGGUGCCGCACCCGCUCGAGCCUCCGGCGACGCUUGUCACGGUCCCCCCGUGCCGCUGUGACCCGUGUUAACGGGGUCGGCCGGCCGGGGAGAAGAGGGAGGGUGCACGGAGGCGGCGGCGCCGUGGAGGACGAGGACGAGCGGCCGCGGAUGAAGACCGACGCGCCGUCCCCUACGACGAGAGGUACGCUUGAUCUACUCCCCGACCUCGAUCACAUGCCGCUACCUGCCCUGCGUCUCCUCUGCGUCGAGGGCGUUCCGAACUAGAGCUCUGCGGGACAGCGGGAGGCAACUGGCUCGUCGAUCAGACGCCAUAUUCCCUGCCCACUACGCAGCGGUAAGCAAAUGCCAUCCUCCGACACAGGCGCACAGCCAGCCACGCGCGGGGGCCGCCGUUCGGCAGCAUCUGUGGAGGAGCUGGGGACUGAAUUCCGCGCCGGCUGAGAUCAGAGCCACUGUAUAGGCGUCGAAUCUCUAAGGGGAUCACCGGGAUGCAUCGCGACGGUGGGUGGCGGAGGUCGCCGGUGGCGGCGGGGCUCGUCGGCUUCUCCAGCGCCAGCCCGGAACAUUUGCAAAACACCCCCCUGAUUUGGAUCGCGAUUACUAAUCGCGAUCCAAAUUAGGGGUAUUCAUGUAAACAUGUGGAUCAAAUAUUUAUAAACUACCUCUAGUUUGGAUCGCAAUUAAACGAGGGGUCCUUCUGAAAACCAUACAAAAUUCUUCAGAAAGCCCUCAGGAGUCCGGACCCCCCUCCCGCCCCUUCUCCGACGGCCGCCGCCGUCCUCCCCAACUACCGCCUCGUGUCGUGCUUCCGUAGCAAUGGCCGAAAGGUGGCGCGCGAUUCGCUUCCAGCUAGAGCUCACGCAACCGGGGCGUGGCGGCCUCGUCCCCUCCAGGAGCACGUCUCUGCUUGUCGGAUCCCGUGCCGCAACCACACGCGACUCCGCAGCUGCUAGCCCCGGCACGAUUAGUGGUCUGAUGAUUGCUACGGAACAGUACCGGCAAUGGUGAGGCAGUGUCCGGCUGUACUAGAAUUGCUUGGAGGGGAGAAGUUUUGGUCUCUUGCAGCUGUACUGCUUUGGGAGGGCUAGCAGUAAAUUAGGGCAUCAUUUGCAGUCUGAAAUUCUGGGAUGCGCAUGAGCUUAUGUGCUGCUUUUUCUGCUAUUCUGAAGCUUUAAAUUUUGAU